rnacentral:rRNA from 3 species
UACGUAUGUCGCAAGCGUUAUCCGGAAUUAUUGGGCAUAAAGGGCAUCUAGGCGGCCAGGCAAGUCUGGGGUGAAAACUUGCGGCUCAACCGCAAGCCUGCCCUGGAAACUGCCUGGCUAGAGUGCUGGAGAGGUGGACGGAACUGCACGAGUAGAGGUGAAAUUCGUAGAUAUGUGCAGGAAUGCCGAUGAUGAAGAUAGUUCACUGGACGGCAACUGACGCUGAAGUGCGAAAGCUGGGGGAGCGAACAGG